UACGGAGGGUGCAAGCAUUAAUCGGAUUUAUUGGGCGUAAAGGGCGCGUAGGCGGGUUUGUAAGUCAGAUGUGAAAUUCCGAAGCUCAACUUCGGAGCUGCAUUUGAAACUACGAACCUAGAGGGUUGGCGGAGAAAAUGGAAUUCCACGUGUAGCGGUGAAAUGCGUAGAUAUGUGGAAGAACACCAGUGGCGAAAGCGGUUUUCUAGCUUAUUCCUGACGCUGAGGCGCGAGAGCAAGGGGAGCAAACAGG
rnacentral:rRNA from 1 species